UUCUAUUACCGUGCGUCCCCAGCGCUGAGAGACAGACACAGAAACACGGCUGACACAAGACAGUGAUGAACAUGGUGAACGUUUUCAUCAAGAUAUCACUAGAAUGGAUAAAAGAUGCCAGGGAAAAUUGUCCACUACAAUGCUGACAUCUACGACUUUGUGACUUGGUUGUUUACAGGUAUUAACCAGAGGUCAGUUACUAUUAGCAUGCAUUCGUGAUGUACAGAAAAAUAUUGCUGAUUACAAAAAGAAACUACAGCCAAUUUUGCCUUUUGUUUGUCAUAUUCAUGUUUAACACAUACACAUUAAUAAGAAUGGUUAAUUUUAUUUCAGUGACAUGGCUUUUGUAAACAUUUGUUGACCAAUGUAGUCAACAUGGCCAUGCACACUGACAUCACAAAUCUCCAGGAGACACGAGAUUAUAGUCAAGGGAUGGUGCUCUCACAAAGGAUUCUGGUUUCAUCUUACAAACACUUAACAGGGGCUCCUUUGUGCCACACGAUAAAGUCAAUCAUAUACUACAUCAUUCUAGAAGCUCUCUAGCCUAUUAUCGUAGGUACCGCAAGACGUUCUGAAAGUGAAAAUAUGUAAAGAAAGCUCACCAAAACUAUCCAUAUAGACAUUGGUACAAUACGUAGUAGACUAUAUACAUAUAACAGUUUCACAUCAAUAUUUACUUUUUAUCUAUUGUUUGUUUGUGUUUGUGUUUGUUUUUUGUUUUUUUUUUUUGUUUUUGUUUUUGUUUUUUGCAUUUGUUUUUAGUGUGCCGACCUUGCUUUCUGACCCAGAGGCUACUUAAAUAGUCUCGUUAAAUCAGACCUGCUAUAUGGCAAGGAGAAGCAGGUUCAACUACACACAUAGGCUGUUGAGGGAACGUAAUGUAUUUUAUAUUAUUCAGAAAAGAAAAAAAUAACAGAUUUUUAAAUAUAGAUUUUGAUUAAAUAAAGCUUUAGUUACAUUAAUUUUAUUUUUAUAAUUAUUUAAAUUUUGUAAUACAUAUUUCAACUUGGUUGUGACACUGAAGUAUGAGGUGUUUCUAUUUUAGGCCCAGACAUACACAGUGGAGAUACUGCCUGCAGGUGUCAAGGUCACUUAAACUGAGGCGCUGAGAGGUUUAAGUGCACAUGAACUUUUCUUCAUUGUGCUUUACGAAAUUUAUUUCUGUACACUUUGAGUUCGUCAGAUAUUUUUAAAAAAGUUAGAAAUCUGAUUUCAAUGAAUCUUGAUAAAGUCAAGGCAUUGUGGUCUUAAUUUUUCUUUAUGUAAAUUUCCCUGUUGGAGCCCCACAGCCUGGUCACCGUAGAUCGUUAAUAGCUUACGUGGCGCCACAGGAAGCUGACUAGACAGAGACACAGGUGAUUGUGUGCGCGCCUCAAGUGUAACACAUCUACGCUAUGACUGGAGUCUGCAAGGUUUCGUUUUGGAUAAUUGUUGAAGAGAUGAAGAGCAAAAAAUAACGUCUACUCAGCAACUUCAAACCAUGUAUGGCAGCAGAAGUCCUGCGUCUAUUGCUGGCUCCUUCGAAAAAGUUAUUGACGAGGAAAUCCUUGCAAAUAACCGGCCUGAUUCAAGAUCGUCAGGACUAAGCAGUGUUUCUGGACCCGAGGACAGCACCACGUACAAUGUAGUUAGGAGCGAGGACAACUUUCUGUUGACGUCACGACAUAAUCACGUGGUUGUAAAUGAAAACUCUUCCACAGAUAGGAAUAUUCGUGAGUGUGAGCUGCCAUCUCCUCUCAUGUUUACAACACUGCCCCCUCCUGGGGUUCUAGUUUCCAGAAAUCAGCCACCAUUUGUCAUUCCAGAUUCUUCAUUCUUGCGAAAUGCAAAUCCACCAUCAUUUCCCAAUCUCUACAGCUUACCAUCGGCAAGAAGUUUUAAUUUAGGGCAGCAAAUACCUUCAACUGGCCACUACCAAACAGCGAGAUCUGAAGAAAAAAAUCCUUUGUUACCUGAACAUCAGAAUCAAGAAUCAGCACAGUUCAAAAAUGACCAAAAGGCAGCAGCAGGAGAACAGCGCCCUUAUGUCAGUCCACCAAAACAUGGUUUUGGAAAUUCAGAACAAACACCUCCAAUCCAUUUUGGAUUCCCAGUCACUCACCACAGUCUACCAACUCAUCAUGACCCAAGUCCUUUACACAAUGUAUUCUAUGUACCACAGUUUGGCUCCCAGUGGAUUCCGACCUCACAAGCUCAAGGACCAUAUACCUCGUCUUUUCGCUACGAACCUCCGCAGAAUAUACAACACAGCUCUUCUGGGUGUCAACCAUUAUAUCCUCCUUGUGGAAGCCAGCCAUUUGCGUACCCUAUUCACAAUCCACACAUGAUGUGUACCAUUCCUGGUGCAGGCAACCCUCUAAUAAGUGAAGCUGCUUCAAGAGAGGCACAGCAAAAACAUCAAGGUUUUCAGCAAGGGUUGGUGGCUAGUACUGAAUGUUCAUCAGGAAGAGUAGAGGAUACAGAGCCACUGUCAAAAACCAUACAGAUACUAGGCGUUGAAGACUCAAGGACAGCAUCCAAAUGCAAAUACUACUUUGAAAACCCCGAAAAAGGCGGCGGAGAAAUACAGGAGGCCAAGUGGGACAGCAUUGAUCGCAUCUGCUAUAUCACCUUUUCCGACAUGACAGUUGCGAAACGAGCUGCUACGUCUCUUCACAAAAUUAAUGAUCUUCAGCUGGAGACCAGCCUCGUUCCAAGGGGCAUCCCUAUCUCUUCGGGCAUGCGCACUGUUAAGAUCAUCGGAGGAGAUGUCCAAUAUCCAGACACUUACAAACUAUAUUUUGAAAACCCCCAAAAUGGAGGUGGGCCCAUCAGUUCUAUGCGAGCAAUGAAAGAGGCGCGAAUGUUUUUGAUAACAUUUGCAGAUACCGCAGUGGCAGAAAAAGUGUGCAGUCAAAAGCACAUCAUUCAAGGACACUUACUAGCAGCAAAGCCAUUAAGAGGGCAACAACUGAUAGAUGUAAGAUGUGACCCUGAACAUGUCGGAAACUCUUGGACAACAGUGGAAGUGAUUGUUGGACAGAAGCUAAAAAAUGAGAUGUUUUAUCGACGGCACUUUGAAACAUGUACACACUCUGGGCUGGUAGAAGAAAUAAUUUUGAAAAGAAAUGAAGGGAAAAUACUUGUUACAUUCAACAACUUCGAAGCUGCUCAUCAGGUUUCAAGUUGUAGACACACGAUUGAUGGAAAAGAAGUCCAGCUGAGUGUCAUGAAGACAUCGCCAUUUUACUCUGAAAAACUUUUAUUCCGGAAUGUCCCUGAAACUGCAACAAAAGAACUUUUAAUCAAUUACAUGGAAAAUGUUAGUGGCCAGGAUAUUAAAAGCACUAACCACAGUGAUAAACCCGGGGAUCUCCUUGUCAUCUUUCAAGAGAAAAUCGAUUUUCAAAAAAUAAGACAGAAAUGCCAAGCAAAGCUGCUUUGUGGAGACAGGCUGGAGGUUUGUAGGGUUCCUGUGUCUAGCUGUGUUCUCGUGGAGAACCUCAAUCCUAUGACAUCAGAUGAUGAAGUCGCACAUUACUUUGAAUCACAGCAAAGAGGAGGCACAGUACUCAGUGUGCAACGAGAGGAAAAUCACAAUGUAUUGGUCUUCUUUAAAGAUCCUGAAGUCGCUGAACGCGUUGCCAUGAUGAAACACCGACUUGGGGGACGAGAACUCGGGACCAGGCUUUACAUAGAAUGCCUUGGACUUUCCAUCGACAGAGAAGACCCUUCUAGCUUUGUACUUCCAGAGCCACUGGAACUGUCUGUGAACACCAACAUCAAAGUGUCAUUCCUCCGCCAUAGCCCUGAAAUGCUUCAGACUUUCAAUGAAAGUUUGUUGCAGGUUUAUGCGCGUGCGAGAAUUGUGAAAGACUCUCUAAAAGUUGAGUGCACCCUCAAAGAUUCAGUACAUGAUGCUCCUCGCUUAGCAGGCGCCUGGAGAGAUAAAGCAUACAAGCAAUUAGAGAACUGCUUUGAUUCUGUGAGACUUGACCGACAGGAAGUAUUGCCAGAAGUAUGGCCUGAUGUGCUGAAAGCUGUACAAAAGUGUGAAAUCAGCAGUAAAAAUUUGCUCUUAACUCUUGCAGAGGAGCAUGCCUUUGUGAUUUUGGGAAGAAAGAAAUCAGAUGGAGAUACAUUUGCUAAGAUCAAGCGCAUUGUUGAGGACACAGAAAAAGAACUUGCUUUCGAAAAAAGUGAAUUGCAUGAGGUAGUGGAGCUUAAAAGGCAUGAACGUCAUCUUUUGGACAUGUCGAGUUUAUUUGCCAACACAGAAGAAAAGUAUAACAGGCUCAGUGUUAGAGAAGAAAAUGGACAGGUUGUUUUUCGUGGUCAGGUGAAGGACGUGAGGAAUGCGCAGCUAAAGAUGUUACAAAUGUUUCGCUCGGCUCCGUCGAUGACAUUAACGAAUGUAUCCCACGGUAAAAGAAGUCUUCUGGCCAAUGAGAGCGUUCAUAACUUCAUACGCCCAAAACUGGCAUCACUGAGGCUCACUGUCACUUGGGAUUGCCAAAAUGAAGGCCUUGUUACAUUCUUCUGCCUGGAGAAAUCACAUCUCUAUCAAGCUGUUGAGAUCAUUCACUCGUCACUACAAGAAAAAGUCUUGUCUUUAGAUGAAACGUCUUCCUGGGUAACGGCUUCACCGAACUGGAAAAAGUUGAAAGACUAUCUUAUUAAAAGCAACCAGGGCACUUUAAUGAUUGAAACCAAGCCAAAGGGUAUUCUGAUCACUGCUAUCAGUGAGAUUAUGUCCGAAGUUAAAAAUAUUAUUCAGAAUUUCGUUUCAGAAAAUGCAAUCUACUCCACUGUUUUCCGCUUUUCUCCUAGUCGGCAGAAGUUCUUAGCACUCUUUUGGGAGAAACGACUUGAAAGUAUAAAGGAGUCGUUAUCCGACUACAAUGUGGACAUCCGACUAUGCAAUAAAGAAAGAAGUAUACACGUUAAAGGAACAAAACAAGGUGUGGAACUUUCUAGAGAGCAACUGGAAAGCCUAGAGAAGGAGAUUAAGUGUACUGAAGUAGACGUCAAUGUGCACGAAUUCAUCAAGCAGCUAGAGGAUUUGAAUCUGAGGGACCUAGACAGCUUUGCAAAAUCACACCACUGUGUGGUUGCAUUGAGUCUAGAAAAAAAUGGCAUGCAGCGAAACCUCGAACAUUUCCAACAAGUCUUGAGGAACUCUGUAUGUUAUACAAGAGGAAAAGAGGAUCAGUCCCGGAAGAGCUAAAACUCUAUAUCUUUACAGAUAACAAAAUGAAUAGACAAAAUUUUCUGAAAGCACAUGGGAUUUUUUUGGACUACAUUAGAGAGCACAAUGAAGAAAAUCGAGUCUUUUUAGAGCUGGCACCCGAGGUACCAGUCAUACUGGAGACACGACGGGAGGAAGGAUUUUCGAACUUAUUCCUGCAGAAAUUGAACAGGCUUACAUCGGUCUACCACUCCACUCCAU
rnacentral:misc_RNA from 1 species